rnacentral:lncRNA from 1 species
GCCACCGCGCUGCGGCGCCCGCCGAUGACGUCAGGCGGGAGCAGCGAGAUCGCGCUGUCCGAGCGCGGCUAGAGCGGCCUGUGAGCCGAGGGCUAGGCCCGCUGGCGGCCGGGAGCCUCGCUGGUGACAGUUCGGCCGGCCUUGGCGGGGCUGAGUCAGCCACAGCGUGCUCGGUCCGGAUUCGUGGAGCGCCCUCGGGGUGACGGCAUAGGGGCGUCCUGGCCCUGUCGGCGUGGUGCUGCCUGGCGGGGACUAGGCCAGCGCGCGCACCUGCGGUGAUUUUCCGGCUCUGGGGAAGCUGGGCGAAUGGCGGCCAGUCAGGCUUACUGAGUCGCGCGGGAAGGUCACCUCGGCCUGGGAAUCCAGGGCAGUGGACCAUGACGAAGGCACAGAGUUAGAAAAAAGAGGAAGGUGUGCUGCAGAGGUGCGUCAGGAGAGAGAAGAUUGGAGGGACCAAAGCAGAGCUCUGUCUGCAGGUAUGUGCCUCUGCCUCUUGGCCUACCAACUGUCUCAUCAACCAGUGCACUUAUAUGCAAAGGGUCAUUUGACACCUACGUUAAGUUCUGAGGUGCUCAGGCCUGGACAUUUGGGCUAUUUUUGUGAUUAUAGGUGGACCUGUCUCUGGGAGCAUCGCCACAGAUGGAGGCACAAAAGCAAGGUCAGUGUGGCAGGAGGGUAGCAAACUGGGGCAGGAUGGUGGUUGAGUGAUAACGAGGAUCACUCCCAUGGGCCAGAUUCUGGGCUCUAAAGGCCUUACUUGUAUUUUCUAAGUUAAUCCCCACAAAAAUUGAGGCAGUCACUGAUGACCUUGGAGAACACUUUUUCCAGACAAUGGGAGUGGGAACCAGGUGUGCAAGAGGUCAAUGAGUGAGAAGGUGGCAGAGAAGUGGAGGCUGCAGGUCUAGGCCAUUCUGAGAACUGUGUCUUUAACAGGAGGUGAGGAAGAAAGAGUAUCAGUUUAAGAAAGAGAGUCACUUUUUUAUAUUUUUCCUUUCAUUAAAAAAGUUGGGUGGGUGGGGGGAUAUGGGAUAGGUAGAGAGGAGGGGCAGGAAAACAAGUGCCAGAGCAGAUGCUGAAGAUGCAAGAGAAGGGUUUCUUGAGCGAUGUAGUCCCAGGAAAGGUGACAUGAUAUGCCUCCCAGGGAUGCAGUGAGUUGGUUCUAGGAACAGGAAUGGAAGGAGUCAAGGGGCACAGGGAGAUAGGAGGGCUGUGGCCCAGGUGAGAAGGACUUGCUUCUUCCUCAAUAAAGAAGGAAUGAAAAGGUGAAGGCA